GCAUCAGUGGUUUAGUGGUAAAAUCCAUCGUUGCCAUCAUCAACAACUUCGAUGGGCCCCGCGUUCGAUUCGCGGCUGAUGCA